rnacentral:rRNA from 1 species
CCUACGGGUGGCUGCAGUGAGGAAUAUUGCGCAAUGGGGGCAACCCUGACGCAGCAACGCCGCGUGAGUGAGGAAGGUUUUCGGACCGUAAAGCUCUGUCGAGUGGGAAGAAAUGUAUCAUGGCUAAUAUCCAUGAUAUUUGACGGUACCGCUAAAGGAAGCACCGGCUAACUCCGUGCCAGCAGCCGCGGUAAUACGGGGGGUGCAAGCGUUGUUCGGAAUUGUGUGGGCUACUGAACAAGUAGGCGGUGAAAUCCCUGGGCUUAACUCAGGAAGUGCAUUUGAAACUAUUCAGCUUGAGUAGGGGAGAGGAAAGUGGAAUUCCUGGUGUAGAGGUGAAAUUCGUAGAUAUCAGGAGGAACACCGGUGGCGAAGGCGACUUUCUGGCCCUAUACUGACGCUGAGACGCGAGAGCGUGGGUAGCAAACAGGAUUAGAUACCCCAGUAGUC